rnacentral:rRNA from 1 species
GACAUAGGUGGCGAGCGUUAUUCGGAAUUACUAGGCGUAAAGCGAGUGUAGGCGGACUCUUAAGUCUGACGUUAAAUCUCCGGGCUUAACUCGGAGCUGUCGUCGGAUACUGAGAGCCUCGAAUGGAGUAGGGGGCAGGGGAAUUCCCGGUGUAGCGGUGAAAUGCGUAGAGAUCGAGAGGAACACCUGCGGCGAAGGCGGGUUGCUGGGCUGAUACUGACGCUGAGGCGCGAAAGCCAGGGAGCGAACGGG